rnacentral:rRNA from 1 species
UACGGAGGGGGCUAGCGUUGUUCGGAAUUACUGGGCGUAAAGCGCACGUAGGCGGCUUUGUAAGUUAGAGGUGAAAAGCCCGGGGCUCAACUCCGGAAUUGCCUUUAAGACUGCAUCGCUAGAAUUGUGGAGAGGUAAGUGGAAUUCCGAGUGUAGAGGUGAAAUUCGUAGAUAUUCGGAAGAACACCAGUGGCGAAGGCGACUUACUGGACACAUAUUGACGCUGAGGUGGCGAAAAGCGUGGGGAGCAAACAGG